GGCCCGGGCUCAUUGUGCUCGCCUCACGCCGGCCCGAGUUGGCGGCAGCGCUGGAGGUCCCGGGCCUGUGAGCACAAAGAGGGAGCCGGGGGCUGGACAGGAGCGCGGCGGCGGCGGUUGAGGCCCAGGCCAGGCCCCCUCUCCUCAGCCUCCCACCCGCCCGCCUGCCCCGCCCCCGCCGGCGGCGCCCCGCCCCUCCCCCAACCGCCAGACUAGCCUGGUGCGGGGGCCGCGCGCGAAGACAUGGGGGAGAAGUUGGAGCUGAGGCUGGAGUCGCUCGUGCGGGCCGAGCCCGCCGUCUACCCGUGGCCGCUGCCAGUCUACGACAAACCCCAUGAUGCUGCUCACGAAAUCAGCAAGACCAUCCGGAGGAAAAGAGACGUAGAGUUACAUCCAGAGAACGAGUUGCUGGACCGCUCCCUGCAGAAGAACCAGGAAGAGUAAGACCAGGAACAGACGUGGAAGAAGAAGAAAGAGAUGAUAAAGUAAAGCCUGGUCACCUCCAGGAAGAAGAUGGCAGGCAGAUAACGCAGAGAAUGAACCCAAUUACAGGUCUGCCUGACACCAGCGAUGAAGGUUUUGAAAUAAUGCAAGAAGAAGAAUGCAGGACCUUUACCACUUUGAUCCUUAUCACCAACCCCUGGACUGAGGUGGGCGCCCGAGGGCCCGGGAGGCGAGCCGGGGCCCCCAGGCGUCUGUGGACAUCGUGUCCGCAGCCAGCGACCCCAAGGCCACGCUCAGGCGCGCCGACGACUUCUUGCGCUGUGAGGACCUCUGUGCCUUGCAGGACUUGGUGCCUCUGCCCGCCGUUUGCACCUCCCUGCGGGAGGGCCUGCUGGACUUAACGCCAAGUGCCUCUGCGCGGUGGACUGGGCGCCGCUCCUGAGCACCCUCUGCCGCUGAUCUGUAUCCAGAGUUUCUUCCAGCCACAGCUUGGCGAGACAGGUUGUGACAGAAAUAAAGUUUCCGGAAGUUGUGUUCCUGCAAUAAGAAAUAAAGAUGUGACCUUCCAGUUGUGUAAAGCUCAUGAAUGCUGUGUCAGUGCGUCGGGGGCGCUAAGGAACCUGGAGCUAAAUGGGCUAGUUCUGAGAGAGAGAGACUUAACUAUGUUAACAAAGGCAGCAAGAAAAGGCCAUGUGAGAACAAAGAGAAGGCAGCAGUCUGCACCCAAGGAGAGAGCCCUCACCAGAUAUUGACUCUGCUGGCACCUUGAUCUUGGACUUGCAGUCUCUAGAAUGGUGAGAAAUAAAUUCCCGUGGUUGUGCUAUUUGGUUCUGGCAGCCGAAGCUGACCAGGACAUCCGGUAUGUAGGUGUGAAGCCUGAAACAGGAGGGGCCUUUUAUAUCCCCUGAAGAAAGCCAGCCUGAGGAUGGAGCCUUCUGAAGAAGGGUAGACCUCUUGAGACAAAGAAAUGCAAACAAUGUCCUGAUGACAUCACUCCCAAUGCCACCUGAAGUUUGGGCUUCUUUCACUUGCUAAUAAAAGCCUCCUAACAUACACAAAUUAUAUAGGCACAAGAAUAAGGUUUAAAAGAGAAUAAGGAAACAUGAAAACAUUGAAUUUUCGGGGUAGGGAGGUUGGCAGUUUCGCUUUUAUUCCAAAUCAGUUCACCUUCAUUAAGAGCUUACAAAGGAUCAGAUAUAUGCAUUAUCUCAUUCAAUCUCCAUUUUACAAGGAGGUAACUGUAAGUGUAAUUUUAAUGUUUGUUCCAUAAAUUAAAACUUUCACAUUAAUAAUUGAACUGUUAAAAGAUUAUGUGCUCCUAGAAACCAUUCUCCUAUAGAAUAGUAACAGUAUAGAGGUUUGUUGAUACGGAAGAAUCACUCUACAUAAUACAUGAAGGGCAGAUGGACAAUCUCUUAUCCAAACAAGUUUACAAAGGAAAGAUAGCGCCAGUUGAACCUCACAUAAAUAUCAUUUAAUCCUGCCCUUUAUUACAGUGAUACCAAUAUGGUUCAUAGAUAAGAUGACCACAAUA